AGUGAACGCUGGCGGUAGGCCUAACACAUGCAAGUCGAACGGCAGCACAGUAAGAGCUUGCUCUUACGGGUGGCGAGUGGCGGACGGGUGAGGAAUACAUCGGAAUCUACUUUUUCGUGGGGGAUAACGUAGGGAAACUUACGCUAAUACCGCAUACGACCUACGGGUGAAAGCAGGGGAUCUUCGGACCUUGCGCGAUUGAAUGAGCCGAUGUCGGAUUAGCUAGUUGGCGGGGUAAAGGCCCACCAAGGCGACGAUCCGUAGCUGGUCUGAGAGGAUGAACCGGCCACACUGGACCUGAGACACGUUCCAGAUCCUUACGGGAGCCAGCAUUGGGGAAUUUUGACCAAUGGGCGCAAGCCUGUCCCAGCCAUACCGCGUGGGUGAAGAAGGCCUUCGGUUUGUAAAGCCUUUUUGUUGGGAAAGAAAAGCAGCAGGUUAAUACCCCGCUGUUCUGCCGGGACCCAAAGAAUAGCACCGGCUAACUUCGUG
rnacentral:rRNA from 1 species